ensembl:misc_RNA 7SK 7SK RNA
AGAUGUGAGGGCAACCUGGCUAUGACAUCUGUCAUCUCAUUGGCUACAAGGGUUGAUUUGGCUGAUCUGACUGCCUAGGCUGGUGUGCCCUUCCUCUCACCACCCCAUGUGUGUCCCUUCAGAAUCUACAUGCUUGGAGGAAGAGGGUGACCUUCCCCGAUGGAGGACAGGACUGUUCUUUGGUCAAGGGUAUAUGAGUAGCUGGGCUUCCCUGCUAGAACCUUCAAACAAGCUCUCAAGAAUAACAGUGCCUUCAAAUAUUUCAUUUUCUUAAUUUGGAAAUUCAGACAAUCUUAAAUGGAUGGAUAAAGAAAUUAUUUUGUUCUUGAAGUUGUUU